CUACAGCAUUAGGUCGAUUUUAGUUAAGUCGACAUCGAGCCUCCGAUGGAAGCAAGUCGAUUUUGCACGUCCCCAUUAUGCUCGUUGCGUCGGCAGAGUGCAUCCUCCCUAGGUAGCCCACAGUGCCUGGAGCCAAGUGCCAGGUUGGGUUGGGCUUGCAAUGCCCCAUGAGACCAAAACGUUUGCACAGGUGGAAAUGGAACAUGGCAUUAGCCUGCCAGGAUGCACCCACCGCCCUCCCUCCCUGAAAUAAACGACAAACAAACCAAGCCUUUUUCGCACCCCUUGUUUCCUACGUCUAGGGUUGCCAGGUGUCUGGUUUUUGACCGAAACGCCCGGUCCAAAAGAGACCCUGGCCAGUCCUGCUGAUCGGCACCGCUGACCGUUGAAAGUCUGGUUGGUGGCGCAGCGGGGCUAAGGCAGGCUCCCUGCCUGCCCUGGUUCCGUGCAGCUCCUGGAAGCAAUGGCAUGUCCCCCCUCCAGCUCCUAUACGUCCCAGUUCUGCAGCUCCCAUUGGCCGGGAACUGCAGCCAGUGGGAGCUGCGGGGGCAGCGCACACGGCCGCCUCGCCACACCUCCGCGUGGGAACCGGAGGAGGGACAUGCCGCUGCUUCUGGGAGCUGCUUGAGGUGACCGUAUGCAGUAUCACUCUCCUGAGGGUAACAGAUGUGGAAAGGGAGCAGAUGCUGCAAGCGUCUUGGGACAGAUCUGGUCCUUAUGCUGCAAAGCUGCGCGCCGCAAUGAUGCCAGAAGAGUUAAUAAAAAUGAGAGCAUGUAUCCCCGGCAUCACACUCCGCCGACAAUUGCUCCUGUGAGGGGAUGGGCUCCAGAGUUAAAAAAAAGUUCUUGGAUGUUGGGGAAAAUGGAUCCUCUGCUUGCCUGACACGCAUUCUCCUCCUCCUCCUCCUGUUCCUCACCAACAAUGUCCUCCUCCUUGUUGCCCGAGGUUGCCUGGGGCCCCUGGGAGGUAUACACGGAGCAUAGUGGUGGGGUCGCCACCUAGAAUCGCAUGCAGCUCCUCAUAGAAGCGACAUAUCUGUGGCUCAGAACCGGAGCAACUGUUCAGUCUUCUGGAUCGGAACUCUGCCUGCAUAGACUCUUCUCCCCACGCAGCAAUAAGAUCCACCACCUCCUGGGUACUCCAUGCUGGAGAUGUUUGUGGCCUUGAGCAUCCAUGGUCAGCUGUGCUGUUGAGCUCUCCACACUGAUCAAACAGGACAUGAAAGUUCAAAAGUUCCCGGGGCGUUAACAGGGGGUCGGCUGUUUCCUGUGUACCUGGCUGAAGUGCAGUGGAGUUGAAAGUGGUCUCCAGAGUGGUCACAGUGGAGCACUGUGGGACACCUCCUGGAGGCCACUUGAUUCGAAUUACACAGCACAGUGUCUACACUAUCCCCAUGUCAAUGUAUGGAUGUCAACUGAAGCGCUACGCCUCACGCAGAGGUGGAGUACAGAAGUCAACUCUACAAGCCCUGUAGGUCCGCGGAAGCGACUCGGAAGUGUAGACACAUACAUUAUUAACUCGACUUAACGCAGCAAAUGUCGACCCAGCUUUGUGGUGUAGACCAGGCCUAAGACUCUAUCCUAGGGAAGCUGACUGCACUAACCUGCAGAAGUUACAAAACAGCAUUUCAGCAGAGGAUGCAGAAGCUUGUGUGACGCUACAGACAAAAGCCUGUCAAUCCAUUUCAAGUCCCAUUUCAAAGCUGAUCACCCUCAACAGCUGGAGAAGAACAACGUAACUUGUCCAGCUAAGCAACAUGGCUUUGAAGGGAAUGUCUCUGAUAUGUCUGUUAUUCAUUGCUACGUCUGUCAUCAGCAUCUCUCGCGCUCAGAACCCCCUGGCCUUCAGACGGAAACAUUUGACCCUACUGGACACCAUAGACCACAACAGAUGUAACAGUGAAAUGAGAAACAAGCGGAUCGCAAUGACUAGAGAUGGCUGUAAAAAACUCAACACAUUCAUUCAUGCUCGCGAGGAGGUUAUCGAUGCCACAUGCACCAUGGGGAAAGUGCAUGUCAUAAAGGGCCAGGAGUAUAAAAAAAGUAUUCGUAAAUUCAGGGUCACUAAUUGCAGACUCUCUGGGGAAUACCCUAAUGACUGCGAGUACAUGGCGGAAAAGAGCGCCUGGAAAUAUAUAGUCAUCUCUUGUGACCAGAACGAUCGCCCAGUGCAUUUUGCAGGGACACUGAACUGGUAGGAGUCAGGAAGUGGGGGAAGGGGCUUAUUCCUAAUGCUUCGGGGUGCAGCAGCCUCUUGUGCUGCAAAUCACACCAUUUAUACUGUCGCCUAAACGUAUUUUUUUGUGAGUGAUUUGAAAUGCUGGAGGCCUCAGCAACAAGGGGACACUGCUCUCUGAUGGGUCUGGUGGUGGGAGAGCAGCAGAGAGAUGGAGGAAGGAAUAAUAAUGAUGCUUAGCAGUCUUAUAGCCCUUUACGUUUCCAGAGCAUUGUUCCAACACUAGGAAAAUGAAGGGGAGUGCCUGAAAGAGGGGAGUGGGGGGAUUAGAGUGGGGGAAGAGGAUUGUUGAGGAUGGGAAGCGAGAUGGUUAUAGGGUCUGAUCCCAAACUCAGUGAAGUCAAUGGACUUUAGAUCAGCCCCAUAGUGAGAGAGGGAAGCAGAGGGAUCUUGAAUGGGAAUUAGUAAGGAAGACAUGGAGGAUGGUCCAGUGGUUAGCAUGUUAGCCUGGGAGACCCGGUGGCAAUUCCCGCUCUGCCGUAGACUUCCUGUGUGACCCUGGGCAAGUCAUUUAGGGCCAGAUUUGUAAAGGUAUGUAGGUGCCUGCAGAUGCAGAUAGGCACCUGGUGUGAUUCUCAAAAGCGCCUAGGCCCAUAAGGCCCAACAGGAGUGAUGAUUUUCAAGCUCCCUUCACUUCCCUAUAGAAAAGCCAUUGACUUUGCUGGGUUUGGGAUCAGAAUGUUGCUGGCACCCAGUGCCAGAGGCAAGCAACAGUGGUGGGGGGAGGGAGGAGGUUUGCUACCCGGUGUGCUUCACCCAAUAAUCACAACGGGGUGGAGAAGCAGAAAAGUUUAUUUGAAGCUUCAAAAAGGUACAGGAAGAUUACAAUCUCAAAUCCUGUACCCAGAGCAAGAAGUUACACAGGUUUUUAUACAUGCUUUCUUCAGCAUACUUAUUCAAUGGCAAGCAGCCCUAAGUAUCCAUAUAGCCAGCCAAUCCAGUUACCAGCUAGUUCCCUUGUUUUUUGUAUCAUUUGUUAAACUAUACAUAAAGCUGCUUUAUUCAGCA